rnacentral:rRNA from 1 species
GUCCACGCCCUAAACGAUGCGAACUGGAUGUUGGGCACAACUUGGUGCCCAGUAUCGAAGCUAACGCGUUAAGUUCGCCGCCUGGGGAGUACGGUCGCAAGACUGAAACUCAAAGGAAUUGACGGGGGCCCCGCACAAGCGGUGGAGUAUGUGGUUUAAUUCGAUGCAACGCGAAGAACCUUACCUGGUCUUGACAUCCACGGAACUUUCCAGAGAUGGAUUGGUGCCUUCGGGAACCGUGAGACAGGUGCUGCAUGGCUGUCGU